GAUGACAUGAAAUGCAUCCAUACAAAUUUAAUUAAUUUGGGAAGCAUCUUAGGUAUGGGCUUAUUUUGCGGAGAUAUUAGCCCAAUAGCUAGUUAAUAACUUUAGAAAAUGACAAGGGACAUCCAUAUAUUUUUCUAGAGUUUAAAGUCGAGAGAGAAGUCUCUAAAGCCGCUAUGGUCUGGGCUCUCACUCACGUCGUCUGUCCUGGGGACUCUAUUACGCUGCUCGCCCUAUUAGCUAGCCGGCGACAACCGUGGAAAUUCAUUAAUUUCAGCCUGUCUCGGGUUCUCUAUUGUACGGCGAAACUCGCUAAUAAUAUAUAUAUGUUUUCUCAGGAACCAGACCUACAUGCACGAAGAAGAAUAUAUAUCUCUGGUCAUAUUCUUGUGUAACUUCUGUCGUCCCGUUCAUUGUGGUUCCUCGGCCCUGCUAGCCAUUUGCUUGCUCGAACUGUACACGUUCGGGUCAACAUGAAAACUACCAUACAUCUGCGGGAACCCCGCAAAUCUUCUCGGCUAGUUACUCUGUGGAAAGUCCUGUCUACUUUUUACGCGCUCCGGGUGGAAAGCGAUAAGGUUCUCCGGGCCCCGCUUUCCCGCCUAUUCCCCCAUUGGAUGACCCCAUACCACCAAGAUGGGGGAUGCGGAGCAAUAGGUCGAAUUACUAUAUAAAGAAGAGUUGUAAACUAUAGGACUUCUUGUUCCCCCACUCUUCUUUGAUCCGUCUU
rnacentral:misc_RNA from 1 species